GUUAAGCCUCACUGAUGCUAUACGUGAGGACUCUGCUGGAAGCCUCUUUUUCCAACCCUUUACGGCUCUACUGAAGGCCUCUCUCAGGAGCAUGGAAAUGGAUUUCCCCCUGCUGCUCUGUUGACAGCAAUCUUUGCUGUUAGUGUGACUGAGCCAAGAAUUAAAGCCUCGUUUUCCGAAAGAUUUGACAUCCAUUCUUUCUAGCAUUGACUCUGUAUGUAACGUGUGAGGAAGCAACUCAGAAGCAGCUAUUAUCAGCAUGUGAAGGUAUCUUGACAAAACCUCUGUGAUUUUGAAAACUUCAUUUAGCAUGGAUUGCCACAGAUGAAAUUCAACGGUUGCAACAGAAGUUAAGACACAUUCUGCAUCUGAUCCAUUGUGAAUAUCUCUUUUAGACAAUGUAGCUAAUGCAUCCACAAUUGAAUUGAAUGAUGAAGCUGCAACUUCAAAUGCAUCAGUAUUACUAGUCCAGCAUAUCUUACACAGGCGCUUCGAUCUCUUUAUUGCUUCAUUAUUUUCUGUUUGAAUUUCAUGAAAUACUACUCUAGACUUUACAGAUGACUCCAGAAACCUAUGCAUAUUGUCCACAGUACUCAUCAUGUUUUGCACUUCUUUCACAGCCUUUGCCAAAUCCACUAAAACCAAAUUUAACCUAUGAGUGAAUAUAGACUGCCCGUUGUUCCUCUUGUGAGAUGCAAGUUGGUAGUCCUGAGUGGCACCCACUCAUAUUUGAAGCCCCAUCAUAACACUGCCCUCGCAAAUUAGUCAGAGAUAAUCCAGUUUUGAGAAAAUACCUUUGACAGAAUGAUAGUCUCACUGUCCAUUUUUCGCAAAGACCAAAAUCUAAGAACUCCCCCUUUCACAAAAAAAGUUUGGUGAAACAUAACAAACACAAAAUGACAGCUGUUCAGUGUCAUUUUGACUCGCACAUUAUUGC